rnacentral:pre_miRNA from 1 species
GUAGUACUCCCUUCGUCCGGAAAUACUUGUUAUCAAAAUAAAUAAAAAGAGAUGUAUCUAGAACUAAAAUAUAUCUAGAUACAUCCCCUUUUAUCCAUUUUGAUGACAAGUAUUUUCGAACGGAGGGAGUACGAG